CGUGACUCAGCCUGGGAAAGAGCGAGUGAUCUUGAGACUCAGCAACAGAUGUCACCCAGACCAUGACACAAAAGACAAGGAAACCCAGAACUGCACAUCUCUGGAACACAAGUGAUAAGGCUGCUGCUUACAUGUCUAGAAAAAGCUGACUAGAGAAUGAAACCGAAGAGGUGCAGCUCAGUUGGCAGCAUGAUUGCCUAGCAGCAGGAAAACCUGGCCCAAGCCUCAGCACCCCAGAAGGCAGGUGUGAUGGCCCAAACCUGUCAUUCCAGCACCAGAAGUGGAGGCAGGAGGAUCGGGCGUUCAGGGCCAGCCUGGGACACAGAGGACCACGUCUUUCCCAGUUUCAGUGAUUAAGGGACUUUGCCUUCUCCACUGUUGGGAUUUUCUGGCCUUCCAGGUCUCAUAUACCAGGAUGACCUUGACCCUCUGACCUCCCUAUGUCCACCUCUCACACGCUGGAAUUACAGACCUGCAUCACUAUGUCCAUUUCUGUUGCGCUCAGGAUGAACCCCAGGAACUUGUGAGUGGUAAGCAAACAGCACUAGCUCCAGCCUGCCCUCCUCCCUCCCUUCUUCCCUCCCUCCCAGAGCCAGGAGCACUGGGUACAAGAUUCAAACUCAAGCUGUGCUGCGUGUGCCCUCAGGGACACGCUCCGUGGCACUGCAGGGAUCCAUGCAUUUCCAUGAGUUCUCCUCACCAAGCAGAAUUACUGAGGUAGAGAGGAUGGUCACCAAGACAGGGUGACCCGGAUUUUCCUCUGCAUGACCUUAGGCUUCAGUCCAUCACCAAACUCACCUUUCUACGCAAGGCACUUCCUCUCUCUCAUGAAUCCAAAUUCUCACCCCAGCUCUCUGGUUUGCAAUCUUUAACAUUAAAAGUGUUUGGGAAACGGGACCUCAAAUUAGUCUCGGCUCUCGAAUCUAUGAAACCAUAAGAGCUCAUGAAAUCUGAAUGGGAGAUUUCAAACCAAGACUUCUUUUUAAAAAAUUGUGUGUGUGUGUGUGUGUGUGUCUCACACACGUGUGCAUGGGUGCAGGUGGAUGUGUGUGUGUGUGAGUGCUAGUGGCUGAGAAGGCCAGAAGAGGGCGCUGGGUUCCCUGUUGCUGAAGAUGUGGGUGCUGGGAACGUGUUCUUACACAC